UCCCCAACGUUUAGAAGUGCACGAGCCAUCAC
rnacentral:piRNA from 1 species